AUUGAACGCUGGCGGCAUGCUUUACACAUGCAGGUCGAACGGUAACAGGCCGCAAGGUGCUGACGAGUGGCGAACGGGUGAGUAAUGCAUCGGAACGUGCCCAGUCGUGGGGGAUAACGCAGCGAAAGUUGCGCUAAUACCGCAUACGAUCUAUGGAUGAAAGCGGGGGACCGUAAGGCCUCGCGCGAUUGGAGCGGCCGAUGUCAGAUUAGGUAGUUGGUGGGGUAAAGGCUCACCAAGCCGACGAUCUGUAGCUGGUCUGAGAGGACGACCAGCCACACUGGGACUGAGACACGGCCCAGACGCCUACGGGAGGAAGCAGUGGGGAAUUUUGGACAAUGGGCGCAAGCCUGAUCCAGCAAUGCCGCGUGCAGGAAGAAGGCCUUCGGGUUGUAAACUGCUUUUGUACGGAACGAAACGGUCCUGGUUAAUACCCGGGGCUAAUGACGGUACCGUAAGAAUAAGCACCGGCUAACUACGUGCCAGCCGCCGCGGUAAUAC
rnacentral:rRNA from 1 species